rnacentral:rRNA from 1 species
UAAAAGCCAUCCCAGUUCGGAUUGCAGGCUGCAACCCGCCUGUAUGAAGUUGGAAUCGCUAGUAAUCGCGGAUCAGCAUGCCGUGGUGAAUACGUUCCCGGGCCUUGUACACACCGCCCGUCACACCAUGAGAGUCGGGAACACCCGAAGUCCGUAGCCUAACCGCAAGGAGGGCGCGGCCGAAGGUGGGUUCGAUAAUUGGGGUGAAGUCGUAACAAGGUACC